UACGUAGGGGGCAAGCGUUGUCCGGAAUCAUUGGGCGUAAAGAGCGUGUAGGCGGCUCGGUAAGUCCGCUGUGAAAGUCCAGGGCUCAACCCUGGAAUGCCGGUGGAAACUGUCGAGCUAGAGUCCGGAAGAGGCGAGUGGAAUUCCUGGUGUAGCGGUGAAAUGCGCAGAUAUCAGGAGGAACACCAAUGGCGAAGGCAGCUCGCUGGGACGGUACUGACGCUGAGACGCGAAAGCGUGGGGAGCAACAGGA
rnacentral:rRNA from 1 species